rnacentral:rRNA from 1 species
UACCAGCGCCCCGAGUGGUCGGGACGUUUAUUGGGCCUAAAGCAUCCGUAGCCGGUUCUGCAAGUCUUCCGUUAAAUCCACCUGCUUAACAGAUGGGCCGCGGAAGAUACUAUAGAGCUAGGAGGCGGGAGAGGCAAGCGGUACUCGAUGGGUAGGGGUAAAAUCCGUUGAUCCAUUGAAGACCACCAGUGGCGAAGGCGGCUUGCCAGAACGCGCUCGACGGUGAGGGAUGAAAGCUGGGGGAGCAAACCGG